rnacentral:lncRNA from 1 species
CGGUAUAAAGGUAAAACGGGUCGUCUCCAUACCCCGUCCGGUAUGAGUACCAAAUUACCAAGUCUCGAUACCCCAUCCGGUAUAAGACAACAUUCGUGGUAGGGUUCUCAAUGGACCUAAUUUGUCCACCAUCUCUCAGGAUAUCCAGUGAGGCUGUCGUUUCAUCCAUUCAAUUAAUCACACAAAUUUUCGUUUACCUUGAACUGCUAGUUCUCCAAUUCAACCGUAACCAUACAAAACAAACAAUACAUGCAUUCAAAACUAUAAAAUCAAUCAAUCAAGUACUAUUACGCAUUUAAACCGUAGAAUAAAUCAAACAGAAUCAGCAAUGAAUAGUUUCCGGUUCUACCUCCAUUAGUAAUCCGUUAUUAAUUAUGAAUAUUUCCUACAUUUCAUAAUUUACCGAAUUAUCAUUAAUU